UGAUAUGACUUUUGUACCGAAGUGUUAAUUAAGUGUUAGUUAACCUUCAAAUUUUUAUAUACUUUUGAAAAUACGGGUAACAUGGCAACAAAUUGGGAAGAAUUUUAUGCUACAAAUCUUCCACCAACUGAUUUUGAAGAUAAUCGAAUUAUUUUAAAAGAAUUUUGCGACAGGCAUUAUAAAUUAGGCAACAAGAUAGCAUUAAUAACGUCUGGUGGGACUACAGUACCUUUAGAACAUAACACAGUUCGUUUUGUUGAUAAUUUUAGUGCAGGCACACGUGGUUCAGCAUCAGCUGAAUAUUUUCUUGAACAUGGUUACUCGGUUAUUUUUAUGCAUCGUCUCAAAUCAUUAGAACCAUUUACAAGACAUUUUAACGGACAAAAAUUUAUGGAUAUGUUGGAUUUACAAGAGAAAAAUGGACAUACAACCAUUACGGUAAAACCUGACAGUGUUGAUGUUUUGGCGCCAGUAUUAGCACGAUAUAAACAGACCAUUGAAAAUGGUAUGAUACUGUAUAUUAGUUUUACAUCUUUAGCCGAUUAUUUGUGGUUGCUUCGAGCUUCGUGCGAAUGUUUAGCAUGCUUUGGAAGAAACGCAAUUCUAUAUUUAGCUGCAGCUGUAUCUGAUUUUUACAUUCCACCAAAUGAAAUGGCAACACAUAAACUACAAUCCGAGCAACCACCAAACAUAUCAUUAAAAUUAGUUCCAAAAAUGUUAUCAUCUGUUGUAAAUAUUUGGGUACCACAAGCAUAUGUUGUUUCAUUCAAAUUAGAAACCGAUGAGAAUCUUCUAAUAUCAAAAGCUCGUCAAGCGCUUGUGAAAUAUAAGCAUAAAUUGGUUAUAGCCAAUAUGCUGCAAACACGCAAACAAAGGGUAAUAUUUGUAACACCCGAAGAAAGUUUUGAAAUUAAUUUAACACGAGAACAAAUUCAUCAUGGUGUUGAAAUUGAGGAUUCAAUUGUAGCAAAUGUUGUUGAACGACAUUCAGAAAUGAUACAAUCAACGAAUUCACAUAAAAAAAAGUAACAAAGAUUUGCUUACUUUUAGUAAAACCGUCGUUAAAAUCAUCGAUGUAUCAUUUUUUGAGUCCUUUUUUUCUUGGUAAACAUGGUGUUGGAUAUUUGUUUUAUACAUAGAUGUCUAUAUUCUAUCUAGAUUGUUAACCUAUACUUGUUGAAGAAAAGUAUAAAGAUGGAAUGGAGUAAUGAUUGUCAUUUGGCGUCCAUUUUGGAUAAUUUGGAUCCUGAGAAAACUAAUGCCGUGAGCUUUAAAUAUAAUACGUUUUAAGAUUGCUAACUUACCAUUUGGGACAGAAAUACCAAUUUCAUUCGUAAUUUCAUAUCAGAUGGACGCCUAAUGACAUCACUAUGUGAGUCCACAUACUUUUUCUUAUCUCAACGAUAGAAAUAUAUAUCUUAUUGCCUUCAUUAGAUGAAACAGAAUGGUAUUCUGUUGAUUUCCCAACUAGGGAAUAAAAACUUAGCUCUAUUUAUCUGUCCUAAAUAACACUAUUUUAGAUGUUUCCUACAAAUAUGUUCCAAUGUGACUGAGGUACACUAGAUCUUUUAGAUAAUAUCAAAUAUUGUAAAUGAAUCUUGUACCAAAAAAAACUUAUCUUAUCCAUGUGUCUUGAUGUGUAGAUGAAUGUAAUUUAUUAAAGGUUCAGUUUCAUCAUCUUUGAUUGGAGAGUUUAAUGUCGGUUAGUCCAAAUUAAUUUAAAUUAGAUGUGUUCAGCCCGUUAAAGUGCUUGCAAAUACUUAUUGUUAGCUAAUAUCUUGGUAUAAAAUUGCAAACUAGUUAAAAUAUUCACCUUUUCCCCUUCCAUUUGCUGUAAGACGUGACGAAUUUUAACCCUCUUCGAUUAUAUCAGAAAGUAUACAAUUUAGAUCGAAUCUGGAGAAUCUCCCUUAAGACACCUGUUAGUAAUUCAAGCAUUGUAUCCUUUUUAGGGCUCUUAUUUAAGUACUCGAAGUUCCUUGA